rnacentral:rRNA from 1 species
AGUGAACGCUGGCGGUAGGCCUAACACAUGCAAGUCGAACGGCAGCACAGUAAGAGCUUGCUCUUACGGGUGGCGAGUGGCGGACGGGUGAGGAAUACAUCGGAAUCUACUUUUUCGUGGGGGAUAACGUAGUGAAACUUACGCUAAUACCGCAUACGACCUACGGGUGAAAGCAGGGGAUCUUCGGACCUUGCGCGAUUGAAUGAGCCGAUGUCGGAUUAGCUAGUUGGCGGGGUAAAGGCCCACCAAGGCGACGAUCCGUAGCUGGUCUGAGAGGAUGAUCCGCCACACUGGAACUGAGACACGGUCCAGACUCCUACGGGAGGCAGCAGUGGGGAAUAUUGGACAAUGGGCGCAAGCCUGAUCCAGCCAUACCGCGUGGGUGAAGAAGGCCUUCGGGUUGUAAAGCCCUUUUGUUGGGAAAGAAAAGCAGCAGGUUAAUACCCCGCUGUUCUGACGGUACCCAAAGAAUAAGCACCGGCUAACUUCGUG